UACAGAGGGUGCGAGCGUUGUCCGGAAUCACUGGGCGUAAAGGGCGCGUAGGCGGCUUGGCAAGUCAGUGGUGAAAUCCCAGAGCUUAACUCCGGAAUUGCCUCUGAGACUGCUUGGCUUCGAGUACGGGAGAGGUGAGUGGAAUUCCCAGUGUAGAGGUGAAAUUCGUAGAUAUUGGGAAGAACACCGGUGGCGAAGGCGGCUCACUGGCCCGUUACUGACGCUCAGGCGCGACAGCGUGGGGAUCAAACAGG
rnacentral:rRNA from 1 species